CUGGUUGUUUCCUUUCGCCUCCUUGGAACGAGGCAAACAAUUAGCAGCAUGGAAGAGUAGUGAUGAAAGUUGUUAAAGGGAUGCGCCUGCCCUGACAAUCAAUAGCACAUGUUAGAUGAGAGACGCUGCAUGUUGGCUGGUUCCGGACAGGAGGCCAAACCCCCAAAAUUACUCUUCAGAAUGAGCUUUGUUGGGAGAGCCUCGUGACCCGGCCUUAAGGAGGUGCUGGAAUCAGAGGUGUCAAGUUCGAUAACACUUUUGAAAAAUCUCCAGGAGCAGGUGAUGGCUGUGACAGCACAAGUACAAGCACUGACAGCAAAAGUUCGAGCUGGAGCAUAUUCUACAGAGAAGGGUCUGAGCCUCUUGGAAGUGAAAGACCAGCUGUUGCUCAUGUACCUCAUGGACCUGAGCCACCUCAUCCUGGACAA
rnacentral:lncRNA from 1 species